CAAUAGCGUAUAUUAAAGUUGUUGCAGUUAAAAAGCUCGUAGUUGGAUUUUGGAUUGAGUCGAACGGUCUGCCUUAUUGGUAUGAACUGUUUGGUUCUUUCUUCUUCUCGAAGACCAUGUGUGCUCUUAACUGAGUGUGCAUGGGGUUCGGGACUUUUACUGUGAGAAAAUUAGAGUGUUCAAAGCAGGCAUUUGCUUGAAUAUUGCAGCAUGGAAUAAUGGAAUAGGAUCACGAUCUUAUUUUGUUGGUUUCUAGGAUCGAGAUAAUGAUUAAUAGGGGUAGUUGGGGGCAUUAAUAUUUAAUUGUCAGAGGUGAAAUUCUUGGAUUUAUGAAAGAUUAACUUCUGCGAAAGCAUUUGCCAAGGAUGUUUUCGUUAA
rnacentral:rRNA from 1 species